AUGCACUUUCUUCCCGUCUUCCACUCUUCUUCGUCCUCUCUUCUUCUUCCUCCUCUCUUCCCCAUCGUCGGCCGCACACCAUUUACCCCCGCUCACUGCUCGCCCGCCCGCGCCAUCUUCCUUGACACAAAUGCGCUGGCCUUCAUGAUUCCAGGACCUGGAAUCAUACUAGUGGAUGGCACGACCCUCUUCUGUUGGAUAUUAUGUAUUGUUGUUAGUUUGAAGCACUCCUUUGGUUUGAAGGAUAGAUACCUUCCUGGGAUCAAGUGCAUCCUAACUCACCUGCUACCAUAUAACUGGAAUUACCGAUGCAAGUCGAAGAAGGAUUGGCCGGUGCUGCCGGCUGGCAUCAAGUUCGAUCCCACGGAUCAGGAGCUGAUCGAGCACCUUGAGGCCAAAGUGAGUGCUGGCAGUGCGAGAUUUCAGUCUCUCAUCGAUUUGUUCAUACCAACCAUCGACAUCAAGCACGACAUAUGCUACACCCAACCUGAGAAACUUCCAACAAAAAAGGUUCUGGUGCUGCACACCGACAAGAACUUCGACCAGCAGAGGACGAACUGGGUGAUGCACCAGUACCACCUCGGGGACCUGGAUCAAGAGAAGGAGCGGGAGCUGGUCCUCUGCAAGAUUUUCUACCAGACAAACACUAGGGCCAGGAGUAAAAAGAUUAUAAGUCGAGCAAGUUUCAACUGGGCUGUAGACUGCCCAGGGUUGGUUUUGUUUUUAACAGGCCCAGCCCAUGACGACAAUGGGGCACAAAGAUCCAGCAGCCCGCGCGCCUUUCCCCACCUCCUUCCGCCGCCGACUGCCUUUGCUUCCACCCGUCCACCGCGGCGAUUUCGGCCAAAUCUGUGGGCGGAAUCGCGCCGCGGGGCCGUCACCCACCCUCCAGCGCCGAUACGCUGCAUCGACCCUCCCGGAUCCGGAGAGAAGAGCCGCCCCUCGUCGCUGCUGCCGCCAGGGGUCGAGCCCGCCCCUCGUCGCUGCCCGGGAUCACCCGCCGCAUCCGCCGCUGCCCGGGAUCACCCGCCGCAUCCGCCGCUGCCCGGGAUCACCGGCCGCAUCCGCCGCCUGAUGGAAUUGAGCCCGUGCGAGAAGUUCUUGCUCUCCAAUUCGUCCGAUUCGGACAACUCGGAUGUUGAGACCAUGCUUGCUACCUUUCGCCAACAGACAUUAGUGAUGGCACUUGCCUUGAAGGAGCACGAAGACGAGAACCGAAAGAGGCGGCGAGGAUCGACCAUCGGGCGUCUUUGCAUUCCUCGGAAUCGCCAUCUUGGGAACGAGAUGUUGAUGCAAGACUACUUCACGGAGAAUCCAACAUAUCCACCGCACCUCUUCCGAAGAAGUCACCAGGAAUCGAACCAUGGUAUAUUUGCUGGAGACCCACCACAACAACCAACUAACCUACAACACAAUUGUUGCACAAAAGAACUUCAUGUUAUUGAGUCCGUCCCACCCGUGCGCCUAUUGGGCCAGCCCAUAAGCGGGAAAUAA
rnacentral:rRNA from 1 species